rnacentral:rRNA from 1 species
UACGAAGGGUGCAGGCGUUAAUCGGAAUUACUGGGCGUGAAGGGUGCGUAGGCGGUUCGUUAAGUCUGUCGUGAAAUCCCCGGGCUCAACCUGGGAAUGGCGAUGGAUACUGGCGAGCUAGAGUGUGUCAGAGGAUGGUGGAAUUCCCGGUGUAGCGGUGAAAUGCGUAGAGAUCGGGAGGAACAUCAGUGGCGAAGGCGGCCAUCUGGGACAACACUGACGCUGAAGCACGAAAGCGUGGGGAGCAAACAGG